UCCUACGGGAGGCAGCAGUAGGGAAUCUUCCGCAAUGGACGAAAGUCUGACGGAGCAACGCCGCGUGAGUGAUGAAGGCUUUCGGGUCGUAAAACUCUGUUGUUAGGGAAGAACAAGUGCUAGUUGAAUAAGCUGGCACCUUGACGGUACCUAACCAGAAAGCCACGGCUAACUACGUG
rnacentral:rRNA from 1 species